AUGAGGAGGAGGGUGAAGUGACUGAGUGUUAGUCUGGGAGGUGUGGAGGAGCGUAUGGACAGAGACUGUUGGUGCCGGUGUUUGUGAGAGGCAUUCGUCCCCUCGCUCUGCCGGAGUAACCUGAUUAAACGAGCGAGAAUUAAAUCUUCUUCCUUCUCCUUUUUUUUCUCCUCCACUCUGCUGUCUGGUUGUCUCUGGGGUGUCCUUGUUCGCCUUCAUAAACAUCACAGAGUCCUCUCUCUUAACCUCUCACCUCUAAAACCGUCUCAUUAAUGUCGUCCUUCGUAUCAUUUUCUAUUUGCUUCAUCAAAUUCAUUUCUCCUCCUGUGUCCGUUUAAUUGAACCCAUUUAAGAGAAAAAAAAACAUAAUUAGCAUUUAAAUCUCUUUCCUACAGUCUGUUGCCCCCCUCUACAUCGUUCUCUCUCCCCACUCGUACUCGCAGACUCUACAUGCCUCAGUCGCUACGGCAACCGAUGCUUUUUUUUCUCUCUCCUCUCUCACUUGCUUUCUGUAUCUCUGCUCGCUCCUCUCCCGUCUCCCUCGCUCAUUCCCUCUCUCCGCUGCCAGAGGUAAGCAUGAUAACUGAUAUGUGUCCGGCUCCCGGCGCGCACGCUGCUCUCCGAGCGACAUUUCUGUGGCGUUGAUGGUGGUGGUGGUGGGGGGGGUCUCUCUCCCUCGCUCAAAGUGCCUUGCUGAGUGCUGCUUUUCGUGCAUGAUGCUCGUAACGAUGAUUAAUGCGCUCCUCUCAGGUGUGUGCUCUGUAAACCUGGGAAGUGAGCGCAGACACUUUUUUGGGAGGUUUUUGCAGAUGUUCGUUCUGAAACAUGUGGCUCAUAACGGAGYGUUAAAUUCAGCUUCCCUGAGGAGCCUUUUUACGAUUCCUUUUUUAAUAUUUAAAAAAAAAAAGAGAGAGAGAAAGAAAGUUUGCUUUGAGCUGUUAAUCCUGCUGGUUUCUGUGUUUACAACUGUGGUAAAACAGAUGAAGAGGGGAAAAAAGGCAGAACCUCCCCUCUGUUUUUCCUUCUUUCUCUCUUAUGUUACAGAGAUGAUCGGAGAAGAGGAGUCUCAGUGAACAGAGUGAAGCGAUGGAGAGAUGCUCCAUCUCUCCUGUCGCACGACUCAUUGCCUUCGUCACCCUCCUCCUGGUCGCUCUGGUCUCGCAGCCCUCCGUCUGUAACCGCGACGAUGGCGAGGGCGGAGAGCAGGUGGACGCCCUGCCGGUCCAGCUGUCCGUCACCUCCCAGGUCACGCCCACCCCUCUGUGGGCGGUGGUGUGGGGUCCCACGCAGCCGCUGGAGGACGAGACCUACCACCGCUUCCUCUCCAGCCAGGAGACCGAACACCUGCACAGCCACGGGAACCAGCAGGAGGUCAGCGGCGCCGCUGCCACCUCCGAGGACUGGCUCUACCUGGACUCUAGCGCCUCGCCCCAGGAGAAGGCGCCGCUGGAGUCCAGAAACCAGGAGGGAGCGGAGGCCGGAGGGACGGAGGCGGAGGAGACGGAGCCGGAGGAAGUCGACCCUCAGUUCUACGUCACCGUGACCAUCUCCUCUCUGCUCAUCCUGACAGCCGUCGUCAUCACGGCCAAACUCUGUUACGAUCGCAGCUGUUCGCAGCAUCCGCCCCCGCUUUCCCGUGGCGUGGGCCCCCCCCUCUCCCUCGCUCUCCCCCGUUCCCUUGCUUCGGAGGACAGCAGGCAGACGCUGCACAGCACCUCCUCCUCCUUCACCGACAGGGAGAGGUAAUGAGUCGCCUCAACAGCUCUGCACUGUCUUGAGUGUUUGUGUGUCUGGCUCCAUGUGUGAGUCUCUGGAUCCAAGUUUGCCUCUGUGCGUGUCUGUCUGUGUGCGGGUACUCUUAUUACUCUGCAUGUGCUGCAAUGGAUGUGCAUGGAGUAUAAUUGGGCAGUAACGCUAUUCUCUGUAGAAUAUUCAGGCCUGGAGUGCUGGAGCAGCUCUAAGAUGUAUCAGUGUUUUAAAGCCCCCCCUCUCCAGAUGAGUCAUCGUGGGCCCAUGAAAAGACGCCUAUCCUCCAUCCAUGAAAUGAUGCUUUUAUUCAAGGGAUCCCAGUUGUGAACCUGUGAGGUUUGUUUUCCACGUGGUGAACGUUUCUACGAGGCCUGAGGAGAAACAACACGACCAGAGGGUGCGCCCGCAGAGCUCUUUUUAUUUUCUCUCCAACUGUGAAACAAAUUCAGGGAACCCAGGUAUCCAGCCAUCGCAAAAACUUCACAGCUUCCCUGAGGCCUAAGAAACGAAAAUCCCAGCUCAUCUCUCCGCUCCUCUGGAGUAAAUUUCUUUUUUUUUUUUCUAAUGUGCAUCACUGUGACCCUGUUCUCCACCCUCUCUACGGCCCCGAGCUCCGCCAGGCUACCCAGCAGCUUCAACCCACCAUGACUAACUCACGAGUAAGCAGUUCAGCAGCCAUGCAGGAUUCUGUUACCCCCGAGAUGCCCUACCUUGCCUCACCUGUGCUUCCACAACCAGUGACUCAGCAGCUCAUUCGUGAAUUUUUUUUUUUAAAAAUCCAGUGCUGCUCCUUUCAUCAAAUGGCACUAAAACUCAGCUCACUCCAGCGGGCUUGUAAUUGGUUAAAAAGCCAUUCUCGGCAUCUCCUAACAUCCAACAGAAUAUUUCACAAAAGCCGUUUGGCGUGGCUGUAGCCAACAGGCAAUGUGUUUAACACGUCACGCUCCAAAAACUGAUGUUUAUUCCCCCCCUGCUUUGGGCGCCCGGAAUGCAAAUAGUGUGGCUCCAUUCCUCUGCAGAUGCACAGGACUCGUUUUCUUUUGUUUUGUUUUCCUGUGUUUUUGUUCCCGAUUUGUUCUCUUAAUUAUCUGGCUGACGCUCACCUCCUUGUGGAACCUUUGCAAGCACGCUUCGUUCCUGCUGGACUCGAGCAGAGAGCACUUCCAGGGGCUGGAGAUAAAAUAUUCAGAACGUAAAUGGUUAGAACAAACUGAAAAUCUGUUUUGUUUUUUCUUUCCCAGUUGUUGGAUGGUACACAGCAAAAGACGUUUUCCCACGUUUUCAUGGGAAAUAAAUAUCUAUGAACGCUGAGAUUGUCUUUUAGUUGUUGUUGUAUACCAAUCUGGAAAACAGAACCAUCACAGCUCUUCAUCAGUUGUCCUGGGUGCACCAAAGGAAAGUUGCACAUAAAGAGUUGCCUCAUGCGUUUCUUGUCAGUUUGCAUGUAGAAAAACUCUGAGAGAGCUGCUUCAAAUCAAGUAUUUAUAAAACGGCUAUUUUACCUAUCUGAGUAUUGUAUUACAGAACUUUUCAAAGCUAAAUGUCAAUUUUUGGCAACUUUUCUAAGCAGCUUUGUGACAUGAACUACCCAUCCACUGAACCAUUCUGACAUAGUGCUGGUGGCAUCAUGGUAGCUUCGACCCUUCAGCUCUCCAGUCUUGUGAUUUUUAGUAGCAUUCCUGUAGAAAUGUGGUCUUUUCUGUACCAUGGAACUAAAAUAAAGGACUCGAUGCUGAUGCUUUU